CCUACGGGUGGCUGCAGUGGGGAAUAUUGGACAAUGGGCGAAAGCCUGAUCCAGCCAUGCCGCGUGUGUGAAGAAGGCCUUCGGGUUGUAAAGCACUUUCAGUGGGGAAGAAAGCCUUGGGGCUAAUACCCUCGAGGAAGGACAUCACCCACAGAAGAAGCACCGGCUAACUCCGUGCCAGCAGCCGCGGUAAUACGGAGGGUGCGAGCGUUAAUCGGAAUUACUGGGCGUAAAGCGCGCGUAGGCGGUCUGAUAAGCCGGUUGUGAAAGCCCCGGGCUCAACCUGGGAACGGCAUCCGGAACUGUCAGGCUAGAGUGCAGGAGAGGAAGGUAGAAUUCCCGGUGUGGCGGUGAAAUGCGUAGAGAUCGGGAGGAAUACCAGUGGCGAAGGCGGCCUUCUGGACUGACACUGACGCUGAGGUGCGAAAGCGUGGGUAGCAAACAGGAUUAGAUACCCGGGUAGU
rnacentral:rRNA from 1 species